rnacentral:rRNA from 1 species
AGGUGAAAAGCACUUCGAACAGAAGAGUGAAAUAGUCCCUGAACCCAUACGCCUACAAGCAGUCGGAGCCGCUUCGUGCGGUGACGGCGUGCCUUUUGCAUAAUGAGCCUACGAGUUACUCAUCACCAGCGAGGUUAAGUACUUCAGGUACGUAAGCCGAAGCGAAAGCGAGUCUGAAUAGGGCGUCAAGUUGGUGGUGGUAGACGCGAAACCUUAGUGAUCUACCCAUGGGCAGGGUGAAGGUUUGGUAACACAAACUGGAGGCCCGAACCGGUAAACGUUGAAAAGUUUUCGGAUGACCUGUGGGUAGGGGUGAAAGGCCAAUCAAACUGGGAAAUAGCUCGUACUCUCCGAAAUGCAUUUAGGUGCAGCCUCUGUUGUUUUGUUCUAGAGGUAGAGCUACUGAUUGGAUGCGAGGGCUUCACCGCCUAUCAAAUCCGGCCAAACUCCGAAUGCUAGAACAUGAAGACAGGGAGUGAGCCAGCGGGUGCUAAGGUCCGUUGACGAAAGAGGGAGAACUCAGACCAUCAGCUAAGGUCCCCAAUUAUAUGCUAAGUUGGAAUAAAAACGGGGUGGGACUGCUUAGACAGCUAGGAUGUUGGCUUGGAAGCAGCCAUUCAUUUAAAGAGUGCGUAACAGCUCACUAGUCGAGCGGUCCUGCAUGGAUAAUACGCGGGCAUAAGCAUAUAACCGAAGCUAUGGGAUUGUAGAUGAUACAAUCGGUAGGAGAGCAUUCCAUUCAGCAUAGAAGCAGUAUCGUGAGGUAUUGUGGAGCGGAUGGAAAAGCAAAUGUAGGCAUAAGUAACGAUAAUGCGGGUGAGAACCCCGCACGCCGAAAGAUCAAGGAUUCCCCGGCAAUGUCAAUCAUCCGGGGGUAAGUCGGAUCCUAAGGGUAAGCCGAGUGGCGAUCCCGAUGGCAAACAGGUUAAUAUUCCUGUACUGAUCAUAACUGCGAUGCAGCGACGCAGAGGUGACACUGCUGCGUACUGACGGAAUAGUACGUUGAAACCCGUAUUCUUUGAUACCGGUAGUGAAGCACGCCGGUAGAGAUGAAAGGUGAUAGUACCGCAAUGCUUCGGUUGCGCGGAUAAUGCAGGUAAGCUGACUGCCAAGAAAACCUGCUAAGCUUCAGGUAAUGAUCAUCCGUACUGUAAACGGACACACGUGAUCAGGUAGAAAAUACUAAGGCGCUCGAGAGAUUCAUGGUUAAGGAACUAGGCAAAAUGGUCCUGUAACUUCGGGAUAAAGGACGCUCUUGUGAAAGAGCCGCAGAUAAUAGGCCCAGGCGACUGUUUACCAAAAACACAUGGCUAUGCUAAUUCGCAAGAAGAUGUAUAUGGCCUGACACCUGCCCGGUGCCGGAAGGUUAAGAGGAGAGCUCAGAGGUAACUCGAAGGUUUGAAUUGAAGCCCCGGUAAACGGCGGCCGUAACUAUAACGGUCCUAAGGUAGCGAAAUUCCUUGUCGGGUAAGUUCCGACCUGCACGAAUGGUGUAACGAUCUGGGUACUGUCUCAACCAUGAGCUCGGUGAAAUUGUAGUUCCGGUGAAGAUGCCGGAUACCCGCAACGGGACGGAAAGACCCCGUGAACCUUUACUGCAGCUUUGCAUUGAUUUUGGGUAACAGAUGUGUAGGAUAGGUCGGAGGCUUUGAUGCUGCGUCGUCAGGCGUAGAGUAGCCGUCGUUGAAAUACGACCCUUUUGUUAUCUGAGGUCUAAUCCCGUUAGGGAGACAUUGCAUGGUGGGUAGUUUGACUGGGGUGGUCGCCUCCAAAAGUGUAACGGAGGCUUCUCAAGGUACCCUCAAGGCGUUUGGUAAUCGUCUGCAGAGUGCAAUGGCAUAAGGGUGCUUGACUGUGAGACCGACACGUCGAUCAGGUUGGAAACAAGAGCAUAGUGAUCCGGUGGUUCCGCAUGGAAGGGCCAUCGCU